UACGUAGGGGGCGAGCGUUGUCCGGUUUUAUUGGGCGUAAAGAGCUUGUAGGCGGUUUGUCGCGUCUGCUGUGAAAAUCCGGGGCUCAACCCCGGACUUGCAGUGGGUACGGGCAGACUAGAGUGUGGUAGGGGAGACUGGAAUUCCUGGUGUAGCGGUGAAAUGCGCAGAUAUCAGGAGGAACACCGAUGGCGAAGGCAGGUCUCUGGGCCACUACUGACGCUGAGACGCGAAAGCGUGGGGAGCGAACAGG
rnacentral:rRNA from 1 species